rnacentral:rRNA from 1 species
AGUGAACGCUGGCGGUAGGCCUAACACAUGCAAGUCGAACGGCAGCACAGUAAGAGCUUGCUCUUACGGGUGGCGAGUGGCGGACGGGUGAGGAAUACAUCGGAAUCUACUUUUUCGUGGGGGAUAACGUAGGGAAACUUACGCUAAUACCGCAUACGACCUACGGGUGAAAGCAGGGGAUCUUCGGACCUUGCGCGAUUGAAUGAGCCGAUGUCGGAUUAGCUAGUUGGCAGGGUAAAGGCCCACCAAGGCGACGAUCCGUAGCUGGUCUGAGAGGAUGAUCAGCCACACUGGAACUGAGACACGGUCCAGACUCCUACGGGAGGCAGCAGUGGGGAAUAUUGGACAAUGGGCGCAAGCCUGAUCCAGCCAUACCGCGUGGGUGAAGAAGGCCUUCGGGUUGUAAAGCCCUUUUGUUGGGAAAGAAAAGCAGCAGGCUAAUACCCCGCUGUUCUGACGGUACCCAAAGAAUAAGCACCGGCUAACUUCGUG